rnacentral:lncRNA from 1 species
CCUCCCCUUUUCCCCUUUUUUCCCCUUUUUCCCCCUUUUUUCCUCUUUUUCCCCUUUUCCCCUUUCCUUUUCCCCCUUUUCCCUUUUUUUCCCCUAUUUUUCCUUUCCCCCUUUUUUCCUCUUUUCCCCUUUUUCCUCUUUUCCCCUUUUCCCUUUUUUCCCCCAUUUUCCCCCCAUUUUUCCCCCUUCCCCCCCUCCCGGACCCCCAAACGCCGCUCCGGGGGCAGAACAGAAACCUCCAGCGCCGCUUUUCACUCCCCUUUUUUAUCCGUUUUAUCUUAAUCAGAUAAGAAAAUACAAACAACCGUGGGGCUACAAACAGCUCUGAAAUCGGAAUAAAAACAGCCCGGUCCCCAUUGUCCCCUCCGUGUCCCCAAAGUGUCCCCGAGGGUCCCCAAAGUGUCCCCAAAGUGUCCCCCGGGGGUGGCAGCUAGCGCCGGGGAAAGGCCGGGAAAACCGGGAAGGAAUUCCCGAAGGAAGCGGGGAACGGAGCCACCAAGGGGCUGGGGAAGGCCGGGAUGAGCAGAGGAGCCCCCCGGGAUUUUGGGGGCUCCGCGGGGGUCCCGAAGCCGCCGGGGAAGCGCAGAGGGGAUCCCCGGAGAGCCGGAGCGGCCACCACGGCUCGGGGUUUGGGCAGCCCCCGGUGGCCUCCGGGCGAGCGGAUCCGCCGCUCCCCGCCCUCCUUGGCCAAGGGGGACACGGAGCGUGACUCGGGCGUGGGGCCGAAGCUUUCCUCGUCUUCCUCAUCCUCAUCCUCCUCCUCCUCCUCCUCGUGGUGGCCGCUCCCGGGGGGGACCCAGCAGCCCCGCACCGCCGCCCGCUUCUCCCACGGCCGCCCCGCUCUGCCCCGCGCCUCUUGCGGCUGCUCGGGCUCCUCCGGCCGCCCAGGGAAGGUGGAAGGCGGCUCCAAAAAAUCCUUGAGGCUGGAGAAAUCCCCCCAGAGCGGGGGGCAGCCGGGCUGCAGCCCCUCGCUGCGGUAGGCGUGGAAGUAACCGGUGAAGACGGGGGUGCCCGGGGUGUCUCCGCCGCCCGGGGAUGCGCUGCGGGCCGGGGCCGCCUCCUCCUUCCCCCCGCUCGGGCUUCCCGAAGGCUCCGGGGGCUCGGGGAGGCUCUGCCCGCUCAGGGGGGGCUCCGGGCCGGGGUCGCUCGGGGCCCGCCGGCCCUCGGGGCUGUGGCGUUGGUGGCAGUGCGAGGACUCGGCUUUGCUCACCUGCGCCAGCAGCUUCUUCUUGGCCAGCGGGGACAUGAUGGGAUGGUUCCCUUUGGAGUAGAAGCUGGAGAAGAGGCGCUUGUAGGUCUCGCUGUGGGUCCGGCAGGGGCUGGGAGAGCCCCCCGAGGGGUUGGGGGCCGGGUUGGAGGGGCUGGAGCGUCCGUCUGUCCCCCGGGCCGGCUCCGCCGCUUCCUCCGCCUCCGGCUGCGCCUUGUCCGGAGCGAGCUGCGAGCGGAGGGGGUCGGGCUGAGCCCAGGGGGUCGGGCUGAGCUCAGGGGGUCGGGCUGUGAGCUCAGGGGGUCGGGCUGUGAGCUCAGGGGGUCGGGCUGUGAGCUCAGGGGGUCGGGCUGAGCCCAGGGGGUCGGGC